CCCUUAGAUGUCCUGGGCUGCACGCGCGCUACACUAAUGUGUCCAGUAAGCACCUAACCUCUUCCGAAAGGAACGGGUAACCUUUGCAAAGCACAUCGUGAUGGGGAUAGAUUAUUGCAAUUAUUAGUCUUGAACGAGGAAUUCCUAGUAAGCACAAGUCAUCAGCUUGUGUUGAUUACGUCCCUGCCCUUUGUACACACCGCCCGUCGCUCCUACCGAUUGAAUGUUCCGGUGAGCUCUUCGGACUGCGCGGUCUGCAGUUUCUGCGUUCCGUGCGGAAAGUUGCGCAAACCUUAGCAUUUAGAGGAAGGAGAAGUCGUAACA
rnacentral:rRNA from 1 species